rnacentral:rRNA from 1 species
CAGCCGUAAACUAUGCGCGUUAGGUGUACUGGUGACCACGAGUCACCGGGGUGCCGAAGGGAAACCGUGAAACGUGCCGCCUGGGAAGUACGGUCGCAAGGCUGAAACUUAAAGGAUUGGCGGGGGAGCACCACAACGGGUGGAGCCUGCGGUUUAAUUGGACUCAACGCCGGAAAUACUCACCGGAUAGGACAGACAUAUGAUAGUCGGGCUGAAGACUCUACUUGAUGAUCUGAGAGGUGGUGCAUGGCGUCAGUGACU